rnacentral:lncRNA from 1 species
UUUACUUAGUUUCAUCUUUCACCAAAGAGUAGAGUGAAGAAUUUCCACUUUAAAAAACAGUCCCCUUCGUAUUCCUCACUCACAGAUCUACAGUUUACACUGAACCUUGCAACUAAGAAUGAGAGAGAGAAGAUUAUCUUUUCCUUUUCUUUUUAUUUUUUAUUUUUUGAUCGAUGAUGCUCACUCCCUUCUUUUCUGUCCAGAAAGAGUUGUUUACUUAGUUUCACCUUUCACCAAAGAGUAGAGUGAAGAAGUCCUCAUAUAAAUGAAGUCCCAAUAGAAACUUUUCCAAAGUUGACUGCUCAAUCUAUGUCUUGGAUUGUGCUAUACUCUUCCACUUAAAUAUAAGGGGCCCACCCUCAUGAGAAUGAUUGCUCAACAAAGCCCCAUUUAGACUCAUGAGGGCUAUGGCAUGUUUUGGAUCUUGGAAUGAAGUACAGGAGAACUAGAUGCCAAGUUUGUUGUACCAACUUUAGUAAAGCAUGGUAGAAGUUGACAAAGGGUGUACUUCUGGUGGCUAAAGGUCAUCAUUUUACUUCUUAGAUCUGGAACCUAGGUGAUCUAGCCACAUGAGCAAGAAGAUCAUAGGGAAAAAGUGAGUUCAAGGCCUCAAGGGUGAUCCCCUUCAAGAUGAUGAAGGGCGGAAUAGUGACCUCCUUUAAAAGAGUUGUCACCCCUUUUGUUGAGCUAGACUAUUAAAACUAUUAAAAAGGGUGACCAGAAGAAAGAUAAGCAAGAGGGAAGGAGUUCCCCUGAAUAGUUACUGCACUUAUAUAUUGGCAUGGUUACCAAACGACAAUAAAAAUCUUGAAGGUGAAACAAUUUUAAAGUUGAAGGAUGAAGAUGAUGGGUUCAUGUGAUAGCUAAUAGUGCAUUUGGAAAUGCUUAAAAACAUUGUUCUAACACCUUAUUUUUCUAAGGUGGUCAACACCAUGGGUUUAGUAGCCCCCAAACUAAGCCACUGUAUCAUGUAAAAUGCUGUUGAAAGGUGGUAUUUAACAUUAAUUUCAAAAAGGGGUCUAGACCCUUUUUCAUUUUACCUUGCAAAUGGAGCCUAAACCAGUUAGCAAGCCACAUACAAGUUGAUUGCCAAACAAAGCUCUUCAAGAAAGGUGCAUGGUAUGAAGACAUGGUCCAUGUCAGUGAAAAAGCUUCCAGCCUUGUAGAAACUUGAUGAGGAGGUAUGCUAACGGACCAUCAAAUACAUUAAGUUGGAGAAGGGAACCCUCCUAGUGAGUUUGGCAGGUAAUUUGUUACAUAUCCGCUCUCAUGAGGAUAUGUCCCACCAUAUUUAUGUAGAAAUCCAAGACAGCGGUUAAGUAGUAGACCUUCGAAAGGUAUUUUCUAGGGAUCUUUCUCACAUGUGAAGGUCUUUAUAACUUCAUAGUGGUAUUUUUCACUUUACUACUUGCUAGAAGGAAAAGGGGUAGAUGGAAUUUUGAAGGAAAGAAGAGGGGAAUGAAGUCAACAAACCCCUUUUCUCUCUCAUUCCCAUGCACAACAUGGUGAAAGCUCUAGACCUAUGGAUGCCCAUAAGAGAGAUCUUGUUGAACAAGAGCUUGUUUUAGCUUCAAAUUAAUCACAUUUAGAAGGUGUCUUUAUGUGCUUGUAGCUUGAGGCUUUUCAGACAAAAAAGAAGAAAUUGUUAGGAUUUAAUAAGCCUCUUCGAUGCGAAAACAGAAAUCCCAAAAGUUGGAUUCCACCAAGAUCGUGUAUUUAUCCAGCUAGAAACAAAAUAGGCGAGAGUAUGAGCCAUAAUAAGAGAAAUAAAGCAUAAAACACUUACACCAUAAGAACACAAAAAUUUACGUGGUUCACCCCAAAAGGGCUACAUCCACGGGCACGACAAACUAAAAUCCACUAUACUAAUGAAAGUUACAUUACAGAUUUUCGGACAUAGAGUUACCUCUCUAACCCUCGACAAAACCCAAUCGAGCAAACCCUUUUAGACCCGCUCUCUUGAUCUGCACCACCUUCCGACCUCUCAUCUCUAUUCCACACACAGCUAAACCACUGUCCAAGAAGAGAUUCAUCUCUAUUCCAGAGCUAAACCACUGUCUAGGAAGAGACCCAUCUCUAUUCCCCAGUCAAACCAUUGUCCAGGAAGAGACCCUUGAGAGCAAGGGAGACUUUCUCUCACUAAAAGGGGAAAUCACCCAAAAUCUUCGUGGGAACUGCUUCUCUACGAGCAUACCCUUUUAGACCCGCUUUCCCGACCGACACCACCAUCUGAUCUCUCAUCUCUAUUCCACCGCUAAACCACUGUCUAGGAAGAGGCUCAUCACUAUACCACAGCUAAACCAUUGUCCAGGAAGAGACCCAUCUCUAUUCCACUACUAAACCACUGUCCAGGAAGAGACCCUUGAGGGCAAGGGAGACUUUCUCUCACUAAAUGGAGAAACCACCCAAAAUCUUCAUGGAAACUGCUUCUCUACAAGAAACCAGCCUCUCACUCUGCAGGAAGUACAUCGUGGUGUUUCUCUUCAUAGCUCUCUUCUCUCUAAUGGGAGGCCUUGCCUCAUGCACAGGGAGCUCCUACCUCUCUCUCUCUAGAGGAAACCACCUUUCCCAUAUGGUGACCCAAAUAGGGCACACCUAGUCUUUCAUCUUUCAACCCAUAUAUAUAAGCUUAGGACUCCACGCUAAGUAGGAAACUUCCUGUUACAUAUAUCUCAAGAACCAAAAGAUAUAUCUCAGGGUCCUAAUCGUUUUGGAUUUCUAUUUCCUUUAGGACACUUGUCAAUAUCAAUCUCAAUCCCACAUAAUCUGGGAUUUCCUUAUGUUGGUGAUUUUUGGAUAUCACCAUAUCCAACAAAAAUCAGAUGCUUAGGUUUUACUUGUGAAACCGGUAGAAGUAUUCUCUCACCCAAAUCGGUUUGAGAAGGCUUUAUAAACGUAUUAGUGCACCAUGGAUUGUUAAGACUGCAAAUGGUUGGGGUUGCGAUCCACCCCCGCCCAGUUGUGACCCAAUAGGGUCCAGGUAGUACCCCAACCCAACCUAGAUUAGCGGAUCUAGGUCAAGAUAUAAAAUAAAUAUAUAAAUAUAUUAUGUAUAUUUUAUAAAAUAUAGUAAUACAUAUUAUGUAUAAUUCUACAUAAUAUGUUAUAUAUGAGUAUAUACCAGGUCAGAUCGGUCGAGUGAACCCUAACCUGGACCAGAACCAUCCCAGUUAGAUCUGGCUGGACCGCAAUCUGAUCAGGUCCAAAUCAAGUGGUGCGGACGUGACCAUGGUGGGUCCACAACCGUAGCAAGGUCUGAUCGACUCACCAGAUCAGUAGGUUGACCCUACCUAAUUACCGCCCAUGAUUAACAAAAUUGGGUUUGGAAUUUGAUUUUCAUCUUAGAAAGGUUUUGGAAGAAAAAAGUCGUGGUCUUAUGCUUGUUUUAUUUAUUGUCUCCUUCCAGUGCAUCAAAUCUCUUGUGCUAUUUUGAUUUAUAUUGGGUUUUCCACGUGCAUUUGAUUCGCAAAUAGAAGAGAGAGGCUUUUCCCAAC